AUUGAACGCUGGCGGCAUGCCUUACACAUGCAAGUCGAACGGUAACAGGUUAAGCUGACGAGUGGCGAACGGGUGAGUAAUGUAUCGGAACGUGCCCAGUCGUGGGGGAUAACUGCUCGAAAGAGCAGCUAAUACCGCAUACGACCUGAGGGUGAAAGCGGGGGAUCGCAAGACCUCGCGCGAUUGGAGCGGCCGAUAUCAGAUUAGGUAGUUGGUGAGGUAAAGGCUCACCAAGCCGACGAUCUGUAUCUGGUCUGAGAGGGCGACCAGCCACACUGGGACUGAGACACGGCCCAGACUCCUACGGGAGGCAGCAGUGGGGAAUUUUGGACAAUGGGCGAAAGCCUGACCCAGCCAUGCCGCGUGAGGGAAGAAGGCCUUCGGGUUGUAAACCGCUUUUGUCAGGGAAGAAAAGGUUCUGGCUAAUACCUGGGACUCAUGACGGUACCUGAAGAAUAAGCACCGGCUAACUACGUG
rnacentral:rRNA from 1 species